CCCUUAGAUGUUCUGGGCCGCACGCGCGCUACACUGAUGCAUUCAACGAGCCUAUCCUUGACCGACAGGUCCGGGUAAUCUUUGAAUCUGCAUCGUGACGGGGAUAGAUUAUUGCAAUUAUUAAUCUUCAACGAGGAAUGCCUAGUAGGCGCAAGUCAUCAGCUUGCGUCGAUUACGUCCCUGCCCUUUGUGCACACCGCCCGUCGCUCCUACCGAUUGAACGGUUUAGUGAGGGCCUCGGAUUGGUCUCGGCCCGCUCUUUACCGGGCGGCGCCGUUGGUCGAGAAGACGCUCGAACUUGAUCGUUUAGAGGAAGUAAAAGUCGUAACA
rnacentral:rRNA from 1 species